CCCUCAUCAGCACAGCCCACAUGUACUCAAAGACCGUCAAAGGAAGAAGGAAAGUAAUAAACUGUUUAAUGUAAUUAAUAAGAAUGAAUGAAUAAUUAUUUUUUCCUUCUAAUGAGACAGAUAUCCGUGCUAUUUACAAGAGGUAUUUGAUCCAGGAAAUAGAAGUCCGAAAAGCAGACCUCGAAUAUUGACAACUGAAAAUAAAAAAAACUGAAGCUUGAAAUUAAAAAAUUGGAGAGAGAUGAUAUGAAAGAUUAAAUAAAAAUGAAGAAAUUUCUCUAAUUGUAUAAAAAUAAAUGAAAUUUGCAACAGAAUCAACCAAAAUAUGUGUUUGCGUACACAUCUCUCACAGCUCUACCGUCCAUGUGGUCUUCCACUGCUAGUGUAGAGGUAUGAAUCCAGAUGAUACAUGUCUAUGUCUAUUAUUAUUGGUUAUUGUUUAUUAAGUACAUGAGUAUUCUAACAUAACUUUAAGUUUGUAUAAAAUGGAAUGAUGCUUAUGUAAUUACGUAGACCUGUAUAUACAGGCGGGUGACGCUAGAGGGAGCGACUGCGAGUUUCAUCCAUUGAUGAAAUCGUCGCACUGCCAAUCUUGUUAAACAUGGGGAAAUCUGUUUUAAUUUCUUAUCGUGUUUAUUCCAAUUUACAGGUAAGAGAAGUAAUGUGGCAUCGUGGGUUACGUCUAUUAAAUGCUUGUCGUGUAUUUUAUAUGUUUGGUUGCGGCACGCGGGUGAUAUCUAAUCGCAUUAGCGCAGUCAUGGUUGGAAUGCGGCCAGUUAGCUCGCGCCAUGUGGUAGCAGAACAGAGAUGGUGGAUGUCGUUCGACACGGUAAUGUGCUCGAUAUUAUUUGUGGAGCGAACCGAGUAAUGGAUUAUCAUUUCAUUUGUGUUUCGUGAUAUUUUGUCAUUGUUUGUUAAAUAGUAUAAUGUUGGUUAAGAAAGUUUAUGGUUUAGAGAGGGCGAUAGAAAGGAAACGUUAUAUAUUGUUAUACGGUUAAUGUAUGUUAGCACUAUGUUAUUACGUGUAGGCGGAUGAUUGGAAUGUUAAUGUGAGCUGCAGAAUUUAAGACGAUACCGUAUAAUCGCGUUUCAAUUAGUGUGUAUGUAGAUGACCCUAUGUGUUGUGAGUUAACGCGACUGCGAGUUUCAUCCAUUGAUGAAAUCGUCGCACUGCCAGUCGUGUUAAACACGGGGAAAUCUGUUCUAAUUUCUUAUCGUGUUUAUUCCAAUUUACAGUGUGACUAAUAAAAAGAACUUAUGAGUGCCA